rnacentral:lncRNA from 1 species
AAUGCUUUAUUGAUAUUCUGGCCACGGGGUACUGCUUCUCUAAUUCCCUGAAUUACUAUAGUUCUCAGGUCCUGCAUAUGAGUUCUAUGCAUCGGAUCCUGAUUAUCCCAAUUAGGUCUUUGAAGUGGCCAUUUAAUAUCUGCUUGGGGUCCCUGGGCAUGUUGAGCAUCCCACAGUCUCAUUCCUGCUCGUCUAAUCAUAUCUCUUUCCUCGGUAGUAAAUAAUUGACCAAGGAUAGAUUGCAUCUCAUCCCAAGUAUAAAGGUUUGGUCCCAAAAAUUGAUUUAAUCUUUCUGCCACUCCCAGUGGGUCCUCAAUUAAGUUUCCCAUUUCGGUUCUUUUAAAAUCUCGUAGGUCAGCCGAGUUUAGGGGUACGGAAAUAUAUCCGAUCACAGGUUGAGGUCCCCCCAUGGGUAUUUCCCUUAGGGGGUACAUCUGAGCUGCCCCUUUUUGACUUCUAGUUACGCGUCUAGGAAGAGGGGGAGACCCUUGUUCCGACUCCGGUGGGGGAGUGGGCGCUCUGGGGACUUCUGCGGGAGCAGGAGGAGGAAUGUAAGGAGGGGGGGUUAGAAGGGUUUCGUCUAACUCUUCCUUCUUUUUCUUUUGUUUAGUUUUUAUUUCAUUCAGCGGAUAAAGUCUAGCUCUCGGUCUUUCUAGCCACACUUCCGCAUAUUGACUCUCCUCCGGGUUAAGGGGAUUUUUAUUAUUAACCCAGAGGUUUAAUUGCUGUCUUACCCAAUCUUCUUCUGACCCAUAGACUGGCCAAAAGACAUUUUUAGAAAUCUUCUUCCCUCCCCAUAUCUUAGUACAAUAUUCUAUCAUUUUUUGCUUAUCUUUCCCUAGGGUUCCAGGGAAAUAUCUCCAAUUGUCUAAGAUAUAUGCCAGAGGGGUAUUUUUAGGUACAGUGUGUACCCUCCCCAUGGGAGUCGAAGGCUUGCUGCCCUUCGCCCCCAUCUUCUGGAUUAUCCACAAACACACACUCACUCGCUCCCCUUAUUCCUGGCCCAGUCCCUCGCGGGAGGUGGAAAACGCAGUACUAAAGGGUCCACACUCGCUUGGUUCAGUAUAUCGAACCUCUCAUUCGUUAUAAUCCAGGAUACCCAAUCCCGCCCGAACGGCGAACCCGCGAACAACUUCGCAGUAUACUUACGCGUCCUGCGUCUUCGUCCGGACUCCCGUGCACAGAAUUUUAUGGGAUUUUACCGGUCCUUUUUUUGCUCAAUAUCCUAGAAUUUAGGUUCGUCGGUAAGGUUGGAGUGAGCUGUUGGUCGCGGGGCCGCGAAAUGUCGCGGGGCGCCUCCCCGGAGGACCAAAGCCCACCGUUCCUUAUCCGAGUCACGGCACCAGAAAUUGUCAUAAAUUGUGACCACAACGGAUCAUAAUCCAAUUAAAAUUUUAUUAAUUAUAGCAAGUAGAAUAUGAGCAAAAACAGCGCUGGACGACAGGGGAGUCUGCGCUCCGCCACUGC